CUCCGACCGCGUCCAGCCCGUCCGGCCAGGUCCAUGGAGAGCCACCCGCGUGAGGGAGGAGCAGGUUGCUAGCCAGGUCCUUAGUUCACUGCUGAAGAGCCGGAAGAAGAUGGGUGAUGAUUUUAUAGCAUGUUUGUUGGAAAGAUUUACAGUGUUAUGGUUAUGCUAAAACAUCAACCCACAGAGUUCUGAUGCUUUUGUUUCAACAGAGAUCAAUCUACUUGUUUGGACGAAAAUAAGAAUGAGAAAUUCCACAUAAUUCGACGUUUAGCAAUCUCAUGAACAAACAAGAAACUUCAACAAAUUAUUUGGCUUGCAAGAUCAAUUCUGAUGUUUGAAAUCAGUUUUCUUGAUAUUUGUAUUAUUUGUUGUCAUGAUUGGAGAAAUUGUAGCUCUUGACAAGGAAGCACAAUGCCAUAUAACUUAUUCAUGUAUUAAUUUUAUGGCCUGCUUAAGAUGGGAGUUAAAUCAUAGUACCUCGUUCGUGCAAUUAGUUUGUAUGAUGAGAAACUAGAAUGCCAGUACAUCAUUCAUGCUCUUUCAGUACUACUCAAUGCCAAUUGAUGGGAUGCCUACCUGCUAGUCUGAUGGAGCGCUGGCCGCUAGCUUUUCUUUAUCUGACGAUGCUGGCGGGUAUAAACG